AUUGAACGCUGGCGGCAGGCCUAACACAUGCAAGUCGAGCGGGGUCUUCGGACCUAGCGGCGGACGGGUGAGUAAUGCGUAGGAAGCUGCCCGAUAGAGGGGGAUACCAGUUGGAAACGACUGUUAAUACCGCAUAAUGUCUACGGACCAAAGUGUGGGACCUUCGGGCCACAUGCUAUCGGAUGCGCCUACGUGGGAUUAGCUAGUUGGUGAGGUAAUGGCUCACCAAGGCGACGAUCUCUAGCUGGUUUGAGAGGAUGAUCAGCCACACUGGAACUGAGACACGGUCCAGACUCCUACGGGAGGCAGCAGUGGGGAAUAUUGGACAAUGGGCGCAAGCCUGAUCCAGCCAUGCCGCGUGUGUGAAGAAGGCCUUCGGGUUGUAAAGCACUUUCAGCGAGGAGGAAGGGUUGGUAGUUAAUAGCUGCCAAUUUUGACGUUACUCGCAGAAGAAGCACCGGCUAACUCUGUGCCAGCAGCCGCAGUAAUAC
rnacentral:rRNA from 1 species